AGGCUCAGCCUCUCGCUGUGGCAGGAGCAGCAGCUGUGCCCAGAAGACGAGUCCAAGCCAGGCUGGCGCAGGUGGAGGCGGCUGCAGAGCCUUGGGGACGGGACACAGAGGCCUCAUCAAUGGGCACCGGUUCCUCUUCUGUAACAGGGGACAGGGCCCUCUAGGACAGCGUCCCAGAGCCUCUCCCUCCUCCCCACUCAGGGCUCUCACAGCCACAGACCCUCCAGGCAGUGGCUGCCUCGUCCUCCCUAGAGCAGCCACUCAGUUCCCUGCUGCCCUCAUGGCUGCACAGUUGCUCAGUGAUGCCACCGGGAGGGGACACUAGCGUGUUGUGAUAUCACCUGCUGCCACUGAUGAGCUUCAGUGCCCUUCCUGCCUUUGCCAAGUCAGCACCACUCUCACCAGCCCUCAGGAGAAGGGAAAGCUGCCUGCACUGCACGAGUUUGCUGUUUGAGAUCCAGUGAGGAUAUUGUGAUGACCCAGACCCCACUCUCCCUGCCCGUCACCCCUGGAGCGCCGCCUCCGUCUCCUGCAGCGCUGGUCAGAGCCUCCUGCAUAGCGACGGAAACACCUGUGUGAAUUGAGACCUGCAGAAGCCAGGCUGGUCUCUAUGGCUCUGGAACUAUUGUUUUCCUCCCAGUUUCUUAGGUUCCUAGAAUGGUUCCGUGGCACCAAGUCAGGACAGAUUUCAUGCUUAAAAUCCUCCUCCUCAGCAUGGAGGCUGAGGAUGUUGGGGUUUACUACUGCCCGCAAGCUCUGUAAUUUCCUCACAUACCGAUAAAGCCUGGAACACAAACCUCCA